CCCCCCCGGGGUGGGCGACCUCGCAGGGUGGUCCCGCAGGCCUCCCCGUACCCGUCCAGAGCUGGAGGCUGGCAGCGAGUAGGUGGGUCACCCACCGGGCCCGUCUUGAAACACGGACCAAGGAGUCUAACAUGUGCGCGAGUCAAUGGGUCUUGCACAGGCCCAGGGGCGCAAUGAGAGCGAAGGUCCUCCGAGCGUGGGCCGAGUCGGGAUCCCCCCGCCCCCGGCGGCGGGGGGCGCACCGACGACCCGUCCUAUCCGGCUCGCCGGUUGGGCGGAGUAUGAGCGUACACGUUGGGACCCGAAAGAUGGUGAACUAUGCCCGGACAGGACGAGGCCAGAGGAAACUCUGGUGGAGGUCCGCAGCG
rnacentral:rRNA from 1 species